rnacentral:rRNA from 1 species
AGAGUUUGAUCCUGGCUCAGAUUGAACGCUGGCGGCAUGCCUAACACAUGCAAGUCGAACGGCAGCACAGCAGAGCUUGCUCUGUGGGUGGCGAGUGGCGGACGGGUGAGUAAUGCAUCGGGACCUACCCAGACGUGGGGGAUAACGUAGGGAAACUUACGCUAAUACCGCAUACGUCCUACGGGAGAAAGCGGGGGACCUUCGGGCCUCGCGCGGUUGGACGGACCGAUGUGCGAUUAGCUAGUUGGCGGGGUAAUGGCCCACCAAGGCGACGAUCGCUAGCUGGUCUGAGAGGAUGAUCAGCCACACUGGAACUGAGACACGGUCCAGACUCCUACGGGAGGCAGCAGUGGGGAAUAUUGGACAAUGGGCGCAAGCCUGAUCCAGCAAUGCCGCGUGUGUGAAGAAGGCCUUCGGG